GGGCGCAAGCCUGAUGCAGCCAUGCCGCGUGUGUGAAGAAGGCCUUCGGGUUGUAAAGCACUUUCAGUCGUGAGGAAGGUAGUGUAGUUAAUAGCUGCAUUAUUUGACGUUAGCGACAGAAGAAGCACCGGCUAACUCCGUGCCAGCAGCCGCGGUAAUACGGAGGGUGCGAGCGUUAAUCGGAAUUACUGGGCGUAAAGCGCAUGCAGGUGGUUUGUUAAGUCAGAUGUGAAAGCCCGGGGCUCAACCUCGGAAUUGCAUUUGAAACUGGCAGACUAGAGUACUGUAGAGGGGGGUAGAAUUUCAGGUGUAGCGGUGAAAUGCGUAGAGAUCUGAAGGAAUACCGGUGGCGAAGGCGGCCCCCUGGACAGAUACUGACACUCAGAUGCGAAAGCGUGGGGAGCAAACAGGAUUAGAUACCCUGGUAGUCCACGCCGUAAACGAUGUCUUACUUGGAGGUUGUGGCCUUGAGCCGUGGCUUUCGGAGCUAACGCGUUAAGUAGACCGCCUGG
rnacentral:rRNA from 1 species